AUGCACGCACUGCACUCUCCCAUAGCUACUUUUGACAGCCUGCAGGCCAUUGCUCAGUUCACUAUUCAAAGCCUGAAUCGACGAUGGAUGGCGUCAGCAUCGGCAGCGAGCCCCCACGCUCCUCUGCACCAUCCGGCCAUGGACGACAUGGAGGAUGAGGAGGUGGGUGGACUUGUGCAUGGGAGGCGACCAUGCUUGUGCUCAAUUGAUGACCAGUGUGAACGCUGGCAGCCGCAAGGGAUGUCAGCGAUAUAUUGGGGGGGAGGGGGGGAAGAGGAUCAAAGAUUAGAUGGAUGGAGGAGACGGACGGCGACGACUGGAGGAACACCAACAUCCGCGAGGGCCGCCGCAGCGAUAGAUGCGGAAAAGAAGCAUGGGGAUGAGUUAGUAUGGAGUUGA
rnacentral:rRNA from 1 species